AACGAACGCUGGCGGCAGGCUUAACACAUGCAAGUCGAGCGCCUCGCAAGAGGAGCGGCAGACGGGUGAGCAACACGUGGGAAUCUACCCAUCCCUGCGGAACAACUCCGGGAAACUGGAGCUAAUACCGCAUACGCCCUACGGGGGAAAGAUUUAUCGGGGAUGGAUGAGCCCGCGUUGGAUUAGCUAGUUGGUGGGGU
rnacentral:rRNA from 1 species